CCUCUGCCGCGCUCCCGCGGCGGGACCGCGGCAAGAGGGCGCCUUCGCGCGUGCGCAGCCGGGGGCGGCCCUGGUCGCCGCGUGGGGGUCAGGAGCAACCGUUGCGGCCGUUGAGGCUUCUUCUAUUCCUUUGCAGUUCCAGUUCAACACCCAAGUAGCUAGUUUACAAAUCAGUGAAUGGAUUUUUUCUGAACAUUUGUUGAACUGGAACAAUGCUAAAGAGAAAGUGCAGCUGAUGGGACAAUGCAACCUUUGAGCUGUUUGUAAGCAAGAAAUCAGCACAUACGACUUUGAAUGAAACAUUUUCUAAUGCUUUUCUGAAAGGCAUUAGAACUUUAUAGAACUUGGUGCAGAUCGCAUAUUAGUGCCCUUUGUUGCUGCCCGUUCACCUUAUUCUCUCAUCUUUGAGCAUCAAGUAUCAUAUAUCUAGCAUGGUCUUCAUCUGAACAAAGUAUCUAAAGAAGUUCAAUAAGAAGAAUCAAACUUAGUGGCAUGAAUCACAAGCGUUAAAGUGGAUUUACCCACACUGGAAACUGAAUCCAAAUGAGCCUUUUGCUGGCAUCCAAUGUGCGAGAACUGCAAAAAAGAAACAAGUGCUAAGAAGAAAAAGUAUCUGCAGUGGUGAUUCAACAAGACAUCUGAAAGGAAAGGAGGAAACACAGAAGUAAAAGAAAGGGAACCAUGCCUACAGACUGAGAUGGAAGAGAAAGCACUGCCUCCUCUGUGUUACAUAUAUGUGUGAUGGAUACAUUUGAAGCUGUAUUUGUCCCUGCAUGAAGACUGCGUGUGUCACACAAAAAAUGAAGAAACCUUCCCUUGGAUCCACUCCUUCUUACUUCGACCUUGGCCUUUUCUGGUAAGCUGACAAGAAAGCUGCAACUGUCAGCAAAAAGGGAAGGCCGGACUUGAGAGCUGUCACUGGGAGGAAAAAGAUCAUUAGAGGAACUCACUAACCACUCACAAUGAAGAGGCUAAACAUACUCCAUAGGAUCGCAAUAGAAGAGGUCUUCAGCAUGUUUCACCGAUGUGCGAUGAAUCCAGAGGAUUUGGCAAGAGGAAGGAUAAAAAUUUUAUUUGCCUGGACAACAUCAGUUCUGAGUCAACUCCUAAAUUAAAGGGUUGCUCUGGCCUCAUUAUUCUGAAGAUGUGUGUGAAUUCUGACUGUAAGACUUAUAUUAGAGCUGGACUUAUAUUAGAGCCAGGAACCUUAAAGAUUUCAAACAUGUUCUACUAUGCAGCUAAAUAUGUACUUAAUAUUCUUAGCUCUGUAACUUAUAUGGUCCCCAUGAUCUUCAAACAUUUGGUAUACGUAAAACUCAGUAAGGAUAAAAUGUAACAUAUGCAUAUUAUGGAAAGAUGUGUUACUGUACUUCUUCACUAUUUUCUUGAUCAACACUUUUCUGAAACUUCCUGAUAAUGACUGUCCACACACCAAACCACUGAACAGCUUCUAGCAACUCAGCAUUGAGUUCCAUUUCUUUUAUUAUCCUGCUCUGAGAUGUAAAAUAGUCAACAUAGUAGCAUCAGACCACCAUUUUCAUCUUAGGUCCUUUUCACUUCAGGGUUUGAAUACUGGAAUUCAGGAGUAUCAGGAAACUAUUUCUAGCUUUUGAGAAAAAGGAUAGCAGGUUACUUUCUGGGUUUUUUUAGCACUUUCAAAACCUCAUUGCUGAUGAUUUCUCAGGGUUUUUUGGUCUGUUGACAUUUUGUUCUUUUCUUUCAUCCUGCAGUCUGUAUUUUUGUGUAUAUAGGUCUAUAUGAAGAAAAAAUGUUUUUUACAAAGAGAGGUUAAAAGUAGUUCUUCUAAAAUGUUUUAAGACUACCCGGACAUGUAAGAAACAGUAUUCUUACAAUAUAAAUACCAAAAAUAUACACAAUAGAGAUAAAGUAAGGUAUGAAAUCCACUGAUUUGAUUUCAAUUUCUAUGUAUAUGUAUAUAUAUAAUCAGUGCACACUCAUAUCUCUAACUCUGUCUACAGAUGUAGAAUAGCACAUACUUAAUACAAACCAUAUGCGUAAUAAAGGUAUGUGUUAUAUGUAUAUGAUAUCAUAUGCAUUCUUAUUUACACACAUGCACACAAACACGUGCACACACACACUUCUCUAUGUAAUGUUAUAAUAAUGUCUCUAAUGCUGUAAGGAUUCAAGGUCAAAAUGAAGUAUAAAGAAUAAUCUUGAAAAAAAUUACUUAAAAUUGCUAGUUUCAUCAUGUAUUUCUUAUGUUUAAGUCUGACUUUGUAGUAAAUGUUCUUAAUUCAUUCUAGGAUGACUAUACAUGAAACAAGACUAUCUGACUGAUUGUCACAUCAUAUUCCUUCUGCAAAAUUAAUUCCAGAGCUCAGAUAAUUUCUUCAGAAUUUUCGUUAAGACUAUUUUGUAAGUCUGGAAUAUUUUAACUUACAAUUUUAUCUCAAUUUCCAGCAUUAAUGUAGCUACAAAUACUACAUUAGGAAAAGAGCAUCAGAUUUCAAGACUUCAUUAAAAUAGAUUUCUGAACACAAGAGUAAAAUCUGCAUUUUAAAAUAUGCGAAAAGUCUCAAACACAAAACUGACAGCUAACACUAAAGUAAUGAGUCACAGUGAAGAUUUGAAAAUUUGAGAAAUGAACUGAUGCAUCUUCAUGAGAAGGUAGUCAAAAGAAAAUUCAGGAAUUGUGAAUUUUUCCUGGAGUCAGACUGACAGCUGCUGUUCAAAAGAGUGAGAUAAAAGCUUGUUUUUUUGGUGCUAGUGUUGCCAUUAACAACAAGGAUCUUCAGUAUUCACCUCUGUUUUUCUGUCCAUGAAGACUGAAUGCUUGAUCCAGAGCAUGCUGUUAUUAGUAGAGAUAUUUUUCAGUCGAGUUUUAUUUUAGAUCAUUAUUAGCAUAAGACUUUGUGAUGGGUCCAGACAAAAACUUAAGUAAGCUAAGCAUCUUUCAUUCAAUUGCAGACUACUUUUUAUAAAUACUAUUUAUGUAAUUUUGACUACUUUUUAUAAAUACUAUUUAUGUAAUUUCUCAUGUAUGUACAUAUAUAUGUACAAAGGAAACUCUUUAAGCCUUUCUUUACAAGCUCUUCUGAGCUGUCUUCUGGCUUUCUAAGAAACUUACUAAAUUAUCUUUUUUACCAGCCCAGCAGAGGAGUAAAGCAAGACAAAGGCUGUAAAUCGUUGGUAAAUCAAUCAGUUAGUUUCAGAGUAUUACUGUGUCAAACAUUAACCUAGUUUAAGUAUGGCACAUUGAUUUAUUCCUCUGUAUAGUCAAAGUUGUUAGCAAGUUAACCAAGACAUUAUUAGAUUAUUUAUUUUCACUCAUUCCGUUUAGGUCUCCCAUGUGUUAUUUUAUAAUCCCAUGGGUGUGAGAGGAAUUUAAAUCUAAUUGUGGCUUAUUUAGUUUGUUUACAGAGCGAACAUAACAUUUCUCAUUACGUAUUUAAGAAGUUACUGCUCUGUGAAAAUCAAAAUUUAUGCCAACCAAGUUUAAAUGCCAAAGAAGUUUAAAAGAAAUUUCAAAAUUAUUCCCUGCAGUAUGUUAUAUCCCAAAUAUAUAAUGAAAAACAUAUUUUUCAUUUACAUUUUUAUGGAAAUAAAAAAUAAUUUUAUCUUCUAAGGCCAAAUUCUGAUGUCAUCCAUGCAACCUGUAAGCUUCAUAAAGGUAAUAUACAUAUAAUUAAUAACAGGAUUUUUUCUGAAGUUUUCUCUCACAUAUACAUAUAUAUAUAAUGAAAAAAAGUGUGUAUGUUUGUAAGUAUGUAACUAGAACAUGUCAUUUGAGAUGAAAAGGUAUUGCUGAUAAGUUUUGUAGAGAAGUAUGUAUACAAUUUCCAUUUUUUAUUAGCUGGCUUAUACUUUCAAAAUAAGCUUGCAUGAUUGCAGCUGCAGAUUUACUCUUCUGAACUGCCCUUGGCUUGCUUCUGGAAAACACCCUUUUAGAGGUAAGUGCUUCCCUGAAUAUGGAUAUUUCCUUGAACUUGUGAGCACCAAUAUCACUACUUAGGCAUCUUAUUACAUGACAGUGAGUAUGUAUAUGUGUGUGUGUGUGUGUGUGUAUGUAUAUGUGUGUAUGUAUACACACACACACACACACACUCUCACUGUCACGUGUAUAUAUGUGUAUAUAUAAUUAUGGUGUAUGUAUAUGUAUGUAUGUAUGGUAUGGAUAAGAUGUGCAUGUGUAUAUAUGUGUGUAUCGAUAUAUGUAAAAGUAAAUAGGUGAAUGCUUAAUUGCUCUUCUAAUUAAUUACAGAAAACAGUGUAUGAGACUUUUAAGGAUGGCAAAAUCGUCUUAGUGAAAAGCAGGCUCAUUCAUAAAUCAAUCUUUGUUAACUUUCAUGUGAUUUUUUUGAGGAAUGAGAUGUUUUCUCUCAGUGUAAAUAAGCAAGGGCAAGUAUCAGAGUGUGAGCUAAUACUGAUGGUACUUCUCAGCAGUUAGACAAGAAGCCUAUACUUUACUGCUCUAUUACUACCUUAUUUAUUUCUGUUCAAAAUGAAGGGAAGAUCUGAAUAGUAUGAAGUGUCUCUAGAAGGUUUUUAUCCAGGUGCAGAUGGUCUCUUUCUAUGUAUAACUGCAAGAAAGCUACAUACCUGUUCUGCUCUACUCAAUCCCUCUUCCAAGACAAAGGGUUGAAAGACGUAUUUCUGUCUGGACUACAACAUGGAGCACAGUAGAAAUUCUGGAGAUUGUGAGAGUUUCUGCAGAAACCUGCACAGGCUGCCUUGCUUCAAACAAGAGGUGACAGAAAAUUACCUUGACACUUCUAAUGACUGCAGUGUGUGGAGGGAAGACGACAGAAUUUCCUGGGUAGCAUUUGUCUGGGGAAGAUUCACACUUAACCUGCCAGAAGGCCCCGGCAGCUGGCCAUGAAACUUUGAAUCUCCUCCCAGAGUAGUAAUGGUUUUCAGAGUCCAAUCUUUGAGUUACUGGAUAUGAACUCAUCUCUGUUUCUUUGGAUUGAAAACCAGCAGAGGACUCUCUGGGUUCAGACCUGAACAUCGGGCGUGGACUUGAACCUUGGUUACAAGCACGGACUAUAAUGUCUGCUGGAUGGUAUGGGGGAGUGAGCCCAUAAUUCUGAGUUAAAGGCCACUAUCUCAUUUAAUUGGAUCAGCCUUCUCAUAUAAAUCAAAGAACUCUAAGGCUUAUUCUUAUUUAGUGCUGUAUCAAUUAUGCUAAUGACUGAAAAAUCACCUGGAGAUCAUUGGAGUUCAUAACCUCGGUUCUCCCAGCACGUUACAGCUGCAAUCAUAUGAGCUUGGAAAAGUGACAGCAAAUGUUUCCCAGAAGAUUUUUCCAGAUCAGUUACAUAAGGGUGAUAUCUUGCCAACUGUGUGAAGUAGCAUAGUCCUUUAAACUGGUAGAGCUGCAAAAAAUUAACUGGAACACAGUGAAGAAUCACAACAAACUGAUUUUUCCCUUUGGCUUUUGAGGGACCCACCAUAACAGGUGAAAGAAAAGGCUAACUAUCUCUUGAACAAAUUUCACGUUAAAAAAAACAACUUUCUCAGUCCACUGGUUGAGAGAUCCUGAUCCACCCACUAAAAUUGCUUACUGUCAGUGGAAAUUAAAAAUCUGAAAGCGAUGCAGAACACAAUGUUUGCCACAGUGUAUCAUUUACAAAGCAACGUUGUCCUUCCAAGUAAAGACUGGCAGCCACAGAGUUAGCCAUCCAGUGGAGUGCCUGUUAAAGCUAUCUCUUAAGACUAAAUAUGCACAGACAUCCUGAAGAAUAAGCAGCCUAUUCAGAGGUGGAUUUGCUGCACCAUGUGUACUUGAUUAAUUAUUAUUAUUCAUGUUUUAAUUGUUAUUAUUUUACAGUGCCCAAGAGGAAUGUAGGUUUUUUGUCAUCUGUUAAAGACACAAUUUAGAAGAACAAGGCUCAAAGGAGCAGGAGAGGCAGAUGGCAUACUGGCAGUUAAAUAUAUAAAACACUCAUCUCAAGUCCUUCCAGCAAACAAAAUAGGGGUUUUUUUUUUCUUUUUUCCUUUCAGGCAAAUAGUUUAUUUGAAGAUGAGUUUGCUGCAGUAGAGAGGAACAUGAUCAGGUCUCUCAAGAGUUUUGACAUUCGGAAAAAAACAAGGAACUAAAUGAUUUUGUUUGAGUCAAAACCAUUUAUUCAUAUGUUCUUGCCAUAAAGAAACCUCCACUGACUUCUAAACCAAAUAAUGUGUGCCAUGUGUCCAGCUUCUCUCUUCUGCCUGUCACAUUUCCAUUUAACCUUAUUAACUGGGUUAGUAGAAAAAUAGUGGUUUAAUGUAACACAGGCAGCGACCUGCAAGAUGACCUAUGCAGAUCAGAUGAAGAAUAUCAAUUUCGAAGUUGAUUAGGGGUGGGAAUAGCACCACUACUGCUAAUAAAAGCUAGAAUUCUUUAUAGAUCACACCCUUCGCAACAAAGCAGUGGCCUUCCAAGGUACCAGGAGCUGAUCUGAACUGCAGGUGAGAGUGCAAGUGCUCACAUACCAGAAGGAAAAAAAAGUUUAGUUUACUGAAAGGGCAAACAGUAAGGCUAUCACAGGCAGAUAGGAUUACUUGUUUAAAUGGCAUUUUGAGUCACGAAGCAGCUGGACUUGCAUAGGCAAAUACUACUUAGAAAUGAGUAUUAUGCUCUGUAAAUAUGGUGAUAUAUGGGAUUGAAAAGAUUUAAAGACCAAAAAGAUAUUGCAGAGUUUUCCAGUUUUAACUAUCUGUUGUAAAAAUGUGCAAACUGGGAUCAUUUAAAUGAAAUUACAUUACAAUUCACCAGUGUUCUAUGAAUAAAAAUAGUCCUGAAAUUGUAUACAAGAUAUUUUGAGUAUACUUGAGCUCCUAGCUGUGGGCUAAAUUCUGCCAGUUUGUAUGUUAAAAACUUUUACAACACUUGCAUUUCCCGGGUGGAAUACUUGAAGACCCUGCUAAGAUACACGCUGCAGUGCUUUUUUCAAGAAAACAUUAUUAUAGCUAUGUUUGUAUGGUCUGCUUCUUAUCUGUCUCAAGCACCUAUACAUAGAAGAUACCUUCUCCUUCCCAGUUCUAAGACGAUAUCAUGCAGACAGGUGAAAGCGCCGCCUCUCGCACUCUCCUCCUUCUGUCUGUGCGCUCAUGGAGCAAGGCCAGUCACUCUCAAGAGCACAUUUUCUUACUAGCCUCCAGUGAGAUCGGUAGACCUGGUUAAAACAUCUUUUUUAUCCUGUGUCUUCUGUGUUUCAGAUAUUUUGAAAAAAAAAAAAUUAUGAGUCCUGCCACACUUUCCAGCCACUUUAUAGAAUGACUGAAAGUUUUAAAAUAUUCUAAAAUGUAAAAAGAAAUAGCUUGUUUCAGAAAAAUAAAUCAGUUGUGUCUUUUCUAAGCAAUUCAGUGGUCCCGGCAAUGGGAAGUAUAUGUGCUAUACGAGAGAGUAGAAACUAUUACUAGUAAAAUGAUUAGUUUGUAAGUCCCCACAAAAAGAAACUAAUUUUGUCAGUUCCCCCGUCUUUCUUUUUUCGAAGGAGUCAAAAGCACAAUUAGCCUUGCAGAAGCAUAACUAAACACUUACGCUUAGGUUUUAUGUAGAAUCACCAGUAGAAACUCGGUUCAUCACAGUUCCCUAGGUCCUAUAGUCCCUUCCAUAAAUUCAUCAGCACCAUUUGAAAAUUAGCAUACAUUUUGCCCAAAUCACUUCUAUGCCCAAGCUAUUCCAUUAACUCUCAGUUUGUUGAUGUACUGAUGUUACAGUUUAGCUCAAAUAGCUUGUGUUCUACCCUGGUGUUUAUACCUCUGUCAAGUUGUCUCUCAGUCUUCCCUUUGCUAAAUGCCAGAGAUAAUUAAAGGAAUUAGUUAGGCAAUGAGUUAGUAAUAUAUGAUAAAGUAAAAAUAAAAGAAACACAAAUUCUUAACAAAAUUAGUAUGCAUAGUUUGACUCUGGCUUGUAUCAGGCACACAGCCCCAGGAGUGCUCUCUCCCUGACUGGAUGCUCUCCAGAUGAUCGUGUUAGCAUUCCAUUUUACAGGAUCUCACAAGCUGUAAAUCUCUGGAGUCUGAGCACAGUGCUAGCACUGUUUCCGGCUCUGGGCUCCAAAACACGCACUCCCAAGUGCACAGGUCACAUCUGACACCCUUCCAUGGAGUCAGGAGUCUACAGUUCGAUGCCUAGGCCCAGAGAUGAGUGUAGUCUGCCCUGCUGUGGGAAGGCAUAGUAUGAAUGACAGCAUCAAAGGCAUAUCCAUACACUAUCAUUCCAUAAUAUGUCAAUUUAAUAACAUGAUAUCAGCUGGAGUCCACAAAUGGUGCAUAGAAAGACUUCCCAAAUUACCUCAGCUUGUAGGAAAAUGACAUUUGACAGCUUGAUAAUAAUACAUGAUGAUAGGCUAAAGCAAGUUUCUAGACUUAGAACACCCCUAAAUGCUAACAAACUUGGGUUGUUAAUGAACUUAAUUUAAAGUUUGUGAGAUCUGCCACACAGAUACAAAUUUUCCCAGUGAAUGGUUUCUGAACAUGAAUGGAAUAACAAUUCUCGUUUAUCCCAGUACAGUACAAGCUAGUUCCCAUAUGUUUGCCAAUAAAAACAAGAACAUUGAAUAGCUAAACAUAUUUGCACCCUGAAAAGGAUAAAUACAGAUGUGCAAAUCCUCCACUGGCCCGAGGCUUUUGCUCAGAGAGACCUGAGACAAGAUAUUCCCUUAUUGCACAGAAAAUAGAGGAAAAGUGGAUUCUUCCUCAGGAUUUCUUCUUCCCAGGCUUUGGGAGAAUCCUCUGUAUAUGAAUAUGAGAAAAUGGGGAGGCUCAGAGAAGGAUAAUCUGAUUGCAUGAUUUGGCCAUAUACAAUCAGUGAGGAAAGGGGAUACCCCCUGAGCUUUUAUUGCCAUCCCAUCAAAAGGAAACCUGAAGGAACUGUUGCCAAAGGAGACUCUGAUGAGCAGUGGAGUGAAGGGAGGCAGAGAAGAUAUCCGGGAUGUCCGGACAUACUGCUUCUCCAUACAACAAACCUUUGCCUUCUGUGCACUGCAGUAGAUUUUGUAGAGAUUUUCAUCCUUACAAAUGUUAUCAUGCAUAUUCCCAAUGUCUGCUUCUAUACUGAGAAAUGUGUCAGAGCCAGGAAACGAUCUUUGGCUCAAAAACCAAGAGGUGUAGACUAGCUUGUGUGCACACAGUUGACGGCUAUCUUCUUCUAGAGCUGACAAGCCCAUAAAAUUGCAUUGCAAUUAGUCCUGAGCUUACUUCUGGGAUUUCCCUCUGGCCUAAAUAUUAUCUUUUUUUCUGUUUUUUGGGUUUUUUUUAGUUCAAAGCAUCUGAAGUAAUAUAAGGAUAUGUAGCAGCGCAGUGGAGUAAUAUUUUUAUAGCAUGAAAUUGAGGAGUAGUAUUGCAAUAUACCCAGUGGGACACAAGCAUCUAGGAGCAAAGAGCUGACGAACUCUACCAAAACUGUUUCUGUCUCAUCCAUACUGGCUUUUGGGAUCAGGACUGGAGUGAGCUAUUUCCAGAACCAUAAACUGGAGUUAUCUUUGAGAGGGCUAGCUGUAGUUGCCCAAAAUAGCAAGAGAGCUGAGAAGUAAGCAGUGUGAACUAUCAGAGAUCCUGUGUUCAGGCUCGCUUCUUGACCCUCUUUUGUUUGGCAGAAUAGACAUGUCCAUUGUACAAAAUAUCCUGCGUAAUAAAUACACAUAAAUACAUAAACAUAAAAUCAGACAAGGUUUUUAAGAUCUGAUCAUCCUUUUCACAAUUGGCUCUAAAAUGUCUUCAGACUAAAACAAGUUUAGAAGACUAAAACUUCAGAGAUUACCUUUCUGUUAAAGUAUAAAAGGGAUUGUUUUCCAGGACUCUGUGGCUGUGACUCAUCUCACCUAACUGUAAAUGCCUAUAAAUAAGCUGUUCUUCUAGAUUUUAUGUAGUCAAUGGGGAAAAAUAGUCACUUCUGGGGCACUAUUCAUAUCAUCCUAGUGGAGGCAUAUUGCAUAUUAUUGCAAAGGACUCAAACAUUUGUUUAUAAUGAAUCUCUUAGAGGUUCUUCUCUCUCCUGAAUUCUAUAAAGCAAAGGCCUUUUAUGGUAUAAUAUCAGUGAAAGAUUAUAUUUUUAAUUAGUACUAAAAAAUACUUCCAAGCCUUUCAUAAUUCGAGCUGGCUGUGUUUUUUGAGAUAUUUUUGAGAUUUUUUUCAUAGCAUUGUUGAUCUGUGCAAACUAUUUAAAUAUGAAGUACAUAUAAUCUUUUGCUAGGAGUGCUGCAUGCACUAUCUAAGAUCAAAAAAACCCCAAACCCUCUGAAAAAAAACCCCCUGUAUUAAGGAAGAGCAUCUUUUUCAAUAAGAUAUGAAUCAUUACACAUUCAGAAGCUUGUAUGGUGUUUGCAGCAAAUUCAGUAUCAUGCAUUUUUAUUAGCAAUUUCAUGUAAACAAAUUAAAUUCUUGGUUUUAGUGAACUGUAGUUGUUCUGUGGUGAAGUGUCAUGAUUUUCGUAAGAAGACGAAGCACACAUGAUCGUUCUUUGGGGGAUAUUUACAUAUGCAGGUGUGUACACCUACUAUACCCCAAAACUUUUUAGAAUUAUUUGGCAAAAGAAUGUGGCAGAGGGGGCUGAAAGCUCAAGGUAGUUGUACAAGCAUCAUGGCAAAGGUCGCUGGAUGGAGGAAAGGGAGACCCUAUGUGGUACCAACUCUGGAGAGGAGUGUGAGACUGGGGAAAAGAAUACCCUGACUGGCACUUGCCACAUAGUAGAUACCAGACAAUCCUAGUGAGAAAUUCAAACUCAUAUGGAGCCAGGCUUCAUUAAUUCUGAUGAGGUCUACCAAGGCCAUGGAUCUACAGCAAGUGAUGUAAUGAAAAAGGACCAAUUUCUUGAUCUGGUAAAUAAACACUGAACUGCUGUGAAUGACAGCUCUGUACCUGGAUGCUCCAAAAAAUGUUUGACCUUUGUAAGAAUAGGGGAAGGAGGAGCUCCCGGAUGUGAGGUGCAUUAGCAAUGUCACUUCCAAUGUCAUGUUGAGUUACCCCAAUCCUUGCUUUAUCUCAUUUGCAACUAAAGCAUAAAAGAAGAUAACAGUGACUGAUCUUCCAGCUCUAGAGGUUGUGCACCCCUUUUCAGUGAAGAUGUGCUGAGCUAGUGAGGAUUUACUUUUUAAGCUAUCUAAAAUAAGCUAGCUCAUUUUCCCUAGCCUGGGGGAUCCCCAACAUAUUUCACUCAAAAUAAGCUUAGACAGUUUAAAUGUUGAAUCCUGGCUAUGCAACUCAUUUCAGCUGAAUUGUGUGAGCACUGUCAGCAAACUGGCAAGAGAGCAUGACAAACAGCUGGGGAACAGCUGGUAAGUGGUGACCCUCUCAACAGAAACAUCCAUUUGCAGAAUGCACCUGUCUGCACUCAUGUAUGAGUUACAAUUACAUCUUAAAAAAAUUAGUGGGAUGUGUACUAUGAAAUAUUUGCUAUCUCAGAAUUAGGCAACUAGUCAUCUAGGCACCUUGAGACAUGACACUUCUAAGAUAUAAUGAUAAUGGAGGUAGAUGGUGUGAAUUAAUUAAUUGAUUAAGCUGUGUAUGAAUAAGCCAGAUGUAAGUCUGUCUUUCGGUUGCCUAUGGACUAAGCAGUCAGUUUAGACUAGGUAACAAAUUUUUAGAUAUUGAAAUUAGGUGAGAAAUUUCAGCCUUCAGAAAUAUUCACUAUAUAUCUGGAAAUAUCUGUAGAUGUAUAGUUAUGGAAGAUGUUUUUCCUGAAGAACUUUGAAUUUCAAAGAAAAUCUCAAACAUACCAGAAAGACAGACUAUAUUUACAUCCUCUCUCAGCAAGUGCAGCAAGAAUUAAGGAGGCACCACAGUUCAAAGUAAUCUCUUACUAUUCCCUGACAUGAAAAGAUAAUGGAUUAAUCAUUUCUUGGAGCCUUUACAGUUGCAGUCUUCAUUCCAGAGAGAUUCUUUAAGGUGAUCAGAUAAGCAUCUUUUCCCAUUACAUUUUAUAUACUUGAAUCUCUAUAUCCUGUAGUGAUAUUUUAAAAUAUGAAUGGAAAAAUGUACAAUCUCUCAUUCCUACUUUAAUGUCUAUAUUUGAUUGUGUGUAUACACAUUCACUGUGGUUGGAUCAUAUAUUGUAAGUUUUUAGAACAAAAUAAUAAAAAAGUUAAUAUGUCAGAUGUUGUAAAGAGUCUAUUAAUGGUUGCACAUUCUCCAUUGCAUCUAGUAGGGAAAUUAUUGUAAUAAAUAAAAUUGUUUCAAACUGGAGAAAAAAAGUUAUUCACUAGAGUGAGUUCAUAGUCAAUUUUGAGUUUUUAAAAGUACAUAUUAAAAAUAGAUGCAAUUUGUCUGUAUUUGAGAAGUGACAAUAAAAUGAAGGAUUUUGAGAAAA